AGAGUGGUCAGAUCAAUUAGCAUCUUGCAAGUUGCAAGAUUGGACUUCAAUUUGUUCAUGAAAAAAGAACGUCAUAUUUAUCUAACGAAUAUGGAAAUCCUGCUAUGAUUCUUUGAAGAAAGUUCGUAAUAAUUGCUAUGAAGAUUAAUGCACACAGUUUAUUUCUGCUUUCUGUAAAAUAUCGAAUGAUUCGAAAUGACUAACACGCGUUAAACAGUCAUUAAAAUUUCAUUUCAAUAACUGGAAAUUAAAAAGUUGAUGCGUGUGUUGUGUUCAGGAUUCGUAAGGAAACUAGGCUCGGUUGAGUGUAACACUAUAUUUCCAAAAUACUGCACAACGUAGAGGAAUUCAGUACAAAUGCGGUUAGUAUCGAGUCCAGGCUGAAUCUGCUGUCUUAGGAUUCGGCGGAUGUAUAUAUAUAUCCUAGCUAUAGGAAGGGGAGGGUCACUUCUAACCCUGUGACUCAGGGUGGAUUUCGACCUUAGUGACUAAUCUUUAAAAUACGCUUCUUAAACUAGAGAUAACUAGGAGAAAAACAUUUUAGUCAUCCAACACGUGUAAUACGAAGUACCUUUACAAUCUACAUCACAAAAUAGACUAAAGACGAUAAUAAAUAUUAUACGAUGAUUCUUAUGAUACGCAAAGUUAUCGAGUUUUAAUAGAGGAGAAUCCGUUCGCUUCAGCGGUUUCAUGUAUGUGGUCAGUAAUCUCAAAUGCCCCAUAUUAAGCACUUAUACCUCUGAAAAUAAAUCACCGAUACUGAAACUACAGUACAGCCUCAUGUAAGAUUACAUGAAUGAGACCGCCUUCCGAGCCAAGUGGGUUCUUGAAAUCGUUGAAAAUUAGCAAGCGCAAUAUUUCAAAAGCACCCUGUAAGCGCGUAGCGCCAGUACUGUUCUUAAACUGGCAAUGAGCAGGUAAUGAAUCCCUUACUUCAGUCUUUAGGUAUAUUAUGGCAGGUAUUUGGUUGAUGUGCAAGAGAAUUUAGAAAGAAAACAGAUAAUGAUUGAUAAUUCGAGGUUGCACAGCCAUCGGCUAUCGAAAGAUUGAUUGUUUGGAAAAGCGAGAAAUUUACAAGAUCAUUAGGAAUCCAAAGCAUUGUCUAACGAAUAACUUAUUUUCCAAGAGGAUCCGGUCACAAAGUGAGGAAAACAAGGAUGUGUCUCGGAAGAAACUUAGAAAUUCAUAAUUGGUCUCAUCUUGAAGUUUUACUAACAUAUAUACAUUACAUAAGUGUAUUAUAUGUUACAUAAGCGUAUUAUAUUAUAUACUACAUACGUAUGUAUACUACAUACAUUAGUCUCUCAAAAUAAGUGUAUUAUGUAUCGCAAAAUGAAAAAAAAACAUGGCCCAUGAGGGGAUCGAACCCGCGACCUUCGCGUUAUUAGCACGACGCUCUAACCAACUGAGCUAAUGGGCCUUUGACGAGUUGGUCUUAUUUGCAAGUUUUCUGGCCGAUAUGUGAAUUAUGAUUUUUAAUAUUUUGUUACGUUUUUAUUAAAAAAGAAAUUUAAUAAAAUAGUUCGCAAUUUACUAAACAUUAAUGUCAGAAUAUAAUUAAAGGAAAGAAGAUUAAAAGAAAAACAACGCGUGGAUUUUUUAAAAAGAUGUUUGGUCAAAGAUUCACAGCUAAACAGGAUGUCUUUUAUGACAAUUAAUUUAGUCGCGAGAAUGUCUUCGACAACCUACAGUAUGUUUGGAUAUGAAACGUUGGGUGCCCGCACGUGGAGUUUCAAUUAAGCAUUUGACGGAAUAAACGUUUUUCAUUGCGAUAAAAGUUCUUCAAUUACUAAAGAACGUCGAGCGACUUAAUAUCGAAGAUCGUCGAGUCACUGCAUGAGAAACAAUUGGUUCGAAAUGCAUGAGUGUCAAGAUAAUAAAUAGUCCGAACUUUGUCUGCAGUUUGGACUUUGCGUAUGAGGGUUAAAUGAAGUUGAUUUAAUCCCGUAGCUGCAGUUUGUUAUCGAAAGAUAUCAAAGGUAGUUAUGAAGCCAAUAAAGAAAUUAGUUUGUCCUGA